rnacentral:rRNA from 1 species
UACGGAGGGUGCGAGCGUUGUCCCGAAUCAUUGGGCGUAAAGGGCGCGUAGGUGGCCCGGUCAGUCGAUGGUGAAAGCGCGGGGCUCAACUCCGCGUCGGCCGUCGAUACUGCUGGGCUUGAGCACUGUAGAGGCAGGCGGAAUUCCGGGUGUAGCAGUGGAAUGCGUAGAGAUCCGGAAGAACACCGGUGGCGAAGGCGGCCUGCUGGGCAGUGGCUGACACUGAGGCGCGACAGUGUGGGGAGCAAACAGG